AGAGUUUGAUCAUGGCUCAGAACGAACGCUGGCGGCAGGCCUAACACAUGCAAGUCGAACGCCGUAGCAAUACGGAGUGGCAGACGGGUGAGUAACGCGUGGGAACAUACCCUUCGGUUCGGAAUAACUCAGGGAAACUUGAGCUAAUACCGGAUACGUCCGAGGUUUAGCGACCUUGGAGAAAGAUUUAUCGCCGGAGGAUUGGCCCGCGUCUGAUUAGCUUGUUGGUGAGGUAAUGGCUCACCAAGGCGACGAUCAGUAGCUGGUCUGAGAGGAUGAUCAGCCACAUUGGGACUGAGACACGGCCCAAACUCCUACGGGAGGCAGCAGUGGGGAAUAUUGGACAAUGGGCGAAAGCCUGAUCCAGCCAUGCCGCGUGAGUGAUGAAGGCCUUAGGGUUGUAAAGCUCUUUUACCCGGGAAGAUAAUGACGGUACCGGGAGAAUAAGCCCCGGCUAACUUCGUGCCAGCAGCCGCGGUAAUACGAAGGGGGCUAGCGUUGUUCGGAAUUACUGGGCGUAAAGCGCACGUAGGCGGAUCCUUAAGUCAGGGGUGAAAUCCCGAGGCUCAACCUCGGAACUGCCUUUGAUACUGGGGAUAUCGAGUCCGGGAGAGGUGAGUGGAACUGCGAGUGUAGAGGUGAAAUUCGUAGAUAUUCGCAAGAACACCAGUGGCGAAGGCGGCUCACUGGCCCGGUACUGACGCUGAGUGCGAAAGCGUGGGGAGCAAACAGGAUUAGAUACCCUGGUAGUCCACGCCGUAAACGAUGGAUGCUAGCCGUUAGACAGCUUGCUGUUUAGUGGCGCAGUUAACGCGUUAAGCAUCCGCCUGGGGAGUACGGUCGCAGAUUAAAACUCAAAGGAAUUGACGGGGCCCCGCACAAGCG
rnacentral:rRNA from 1 species